UAAGGGGGUCAAUAUGUAUUAAUUAUCUAAAUAACACGUUAAAUUUUAAAAAAAUUAUUUGAGAAAUUUGUAAUUUUGGAAAAAUAAAAGGGGCAAAUGCCCCUCUUAUCCAUAACGUGGCUCCGCCACUGGCGCCUUCAUCCGAACAAAAACGCCUCUCCAGCAAACCUUACGUUUGCUCCUUCAUAUGAACUAAUACUUCUCUUCAAUGAAAGCGGCAGUGGUAUUUAAACACAUCUUUAAUCUUCCAAACAUCCAAACAGAUUCAUCUUCAAUCUUCCUCACAAUUCAGCUUUAACAACCAAUUACGGAGAAUCUAAAUCUCGGCAACUCAGUGGUGGCUAAUGGCCUCUUCGAAGAGGAAAUGAAUUCAUUAUGAAGAGGAAAUGGAUGAUAAUUUGUUUGUGUUGUCUUUUAAUGCCUUAGAGAACAAAGAAAGGUUUGAUAAGGCCGAAGCAGAAUGACCGGAGAUGAUUUAUCACAUUUUCUGCAUCGCACUGUGGCUUUGAUGUUCGAUGUUGUUCCUGUUUUGAUUCAUAUAAUGUGGAUUUCUUGCUGCCAAAGCUCCAUGUAGUGUCACAAGCUUACUGUACGCACAUUCAUACAGACUGAGAGAUAAUAUUCAGCAACUCGACGAGGUGUCUCCCGUUCUUUUGCAGAGGUAGACUGGAUAAUAGAACUUGUUAAUGCCCUCAAAAUAUAUCUCAAUAUUGUCAUCAUGUUUUCAUAUAAGAGUUAAGUCUUGGUAGAGCACUUAAUGGAUUCUGUUAAAUCUUUUUCUUACAUGCUCUUUCGAGCAGAGCAUACAGUCAAAUCGGGGGAGUACAUUCCAUUUUCA